rnacentral:rRNA from 1 species
GAUGAACGCUGGCGGCGUGCCUAAUACAUGCAAGUCGAGCGAAUGGAUUAAGAGCUUGCUCUUAUGAAGUUAGCGGCGGACGGGUGAGUAACACGUGGGUAACCUGCCCAUAAGACUGGGAUAACUCCGGGAAACCGGAGCUAAUACCGGAUAACAUUUUGAACCGCAUGGUUCGAAAUUGAAAGGCGGCUUCGGCUGUCCUUUAUGGAUGGACCCGGGUCGCAUUAGCUAGUUGGUGAGGUAACGGCUCCCCAAGGCAACGAUGCGUAGCCGACCUGAGAGGGUGAUCGGCCACACUGGGACUGAGACACGGCCCAGACUCCUACGGGAGGCAGCAGUAGGGAAUCUUCCGCAAUGGACGAAAGUCUGACGGAGCAACGCCGCGUGAGUGAUGAAGGCUUUCGGGUCGUAAAACUCUGUUGUUAGGGAAGAACAAGUGCUAGUUGAAUAAGCUGGCACCUUGACGGUACCUAACCAGAAAGCCACGGCUAACUACGUGCCAGCAGCCGCAGUAA